UCGAGAGUUUGUAUCCUGGCUCAGAACGAACGCUGGCGGCGUGUUUAAGACAUGCAAGUCGCACGGGAUCAGAUAUGUAGCAAUACUUGUCUGGUUUAGUGGCGCACGGGUGAGUAACACGUGAAUGACAUGCCCUAUAGUGGGGAAUAGCCCAGGGAAACUUGGAUUAAUACCCCAUAGUCUCGCAAGAGUAAAGGUGGCCGCAAGGCUGUCGCUAUAGGAUUGGUUCGCGUUCUAUCAGCUUGUUGGUGAGGUAACGGCUCACCAAGGCAAUGACGGAUACCUGGUCUGAGAGGACGAUCAGGCACACUGGAACUGAGACACGGUCCAGACCACCGUAC
rnacentral:rRNA from 1 species